UGGGCGGUGGCCAAGCGGUAAGGCACGGGCCUUUGGAGCCUGUAUGCGUAGGUUCAAAUCCUACCCGCCCAG
rnacentral:tRNA from 1 species